CAGCGCCACAAGUGGCAAUCAGCAUUACUGGGCCUAAAGCGUCCGUAGCCGGUUUGGAAAAUCCUUUGUGAAAUCGUCGAGCUUAACUCGGCGGCGUGCAGGGGACACUACCAGACUUGGGACCGGUGAGGAGUCAGAGGAAUUAGAGGGGGAGCGGUAAAAUGCAAUAAUCCUUCUAAGACCACCUGUGGCGAAGGCGUCUGACCAGAACGGAUCCGACGGUGAGGGACGAAAGCUAGGGGAGCGAACCGGAUUAGAUACCCGCGUAGUCC
rnacentral:rRNA from 1 species